AGUCCAUGAUGGGGACACAACCUCAAUAAUUCCUUAAAUCUAUCAUAGGCGUCACACAAAGACUCUUCUUUCUUUUGAGCAAAAGUAGUAAUCUUAUUCCGAAGCU